rfam:Stegodyphus mimosarum contig5271, whole genome shotgun sequence.
GCCUUCGUGGUGUAAUGGUCAAACACACUCGGAAUGUAUUCGAGAGGUCCGUGGUUCGAGUCUCGGUGAGAGCA